rnacentral:rRNA from 1 species
AUUGAACGCUGGCGGCAGGCCUAACACAUGCAAGUCGAGCGAGCGGCGGACGGGGGAGUAAUGUGUGGGAAACUGCCUGAUGGAGGGGGAUAACUACUGGAAACGGUAGCUAAUACCGCAUACCAUCAGAUGUGCCCAGAUGGGAUUAGCUAGUAGGUGGGGAAACGGCUCACCUAGGCGACGAUCCCUAGCUGGUCGGCGAGGAUGACCAGCACACCUGGAACUGAGGCACGGUCCAGACUCCUACGGGAGGCAGCGGGGGGGAAUAUUGCACAAGGGGGGAAAGCCUGAUGCAGCCAGGCCGCGUGUGUGAGGAAGGCCUUCGGGUUGUAAAGCACUUUCAGCGGGGAGGCGUUACCCGCAGAAGAAGCACCGGCUAACUCCGUGCCAGCAGCCGCGUAAUUC